CCUACGGGUGGCAGCAGUGGGGAAUAUUGGACAAUGGGCGAAAGCCUGAUCCAGCCAUGCCGCGUGUGUGAAGAAGGCCUUCGGGUUGUAAAGCACUUUCAGUGGGGAAGAAAGCCUUGGGGCUAAUACCCUCGAGGAAGGACAUCACCCACAGAAGAAGCACCGGCUAACUCCGUGCCAGCAGCCGCGGUAAUACGGAGGGUGCGAGCGUUAAUCGGAAUUACUGGGCGUAAAGCGCGCGUAGGCGGUCUGAUAAGCCGGUUGUGAAAGCCCCGGGCUCAACCUGGGAACGGCAUCCGGAACUGUCAGGCUAGAGUGCAGGAGAGGAAGGUAGAAUUCCCGGUGUAGCGGUGAAAUGCGUAGAGAUCGGGAGGGAUACCAGUGGCGAAGGCGGCCUUCUGGACUGACACUGACGCUGAGGUGCGAAAGCGUGGGUAGCAAACAGGAUUAGAUACCCUAGUAGUC
rnacentral:rRNA from 1 species